GGGGAUGUAACUUAGCAGUACAGUGCCUGCCUGGCAAGCGUGAGGCCCUGGGUUCGAUUCCCAGUACCA
rnacentral:tRNA from 1 species